CUACGGGGUGCUGCAGUGGGGAAUUUUGGACAAUGGGGGCAACCCUGAUCCAGCCAUGCCGCGUGAGUGAAGAAGGCCUUCGGGUUGUAAAGCUCUUUCAGCCGGGAAGAAAUCGCAUGGGUUAAUACCCUGUGCGGAUGACGGUACCGGAAUAAGAAGCACCGGCUAACUACGUGCCAGCAGCCGCGGUAAUACGUAGGGUGCGAGCGUUAAUCGGAAUUACUGGGCGUAAAGCGCGCGUAGGCGGCUAGAUCAGUCGGGUGUGAAAGCCCCGGGCUUAACCUGGGAACUGCAUCCGAUACUGUCUAGCUUGAGUACAGGAGAGGAGAGUGGAAUUCCACAUGUAGCGGUGAAAUGCGUAGAUAUGUGGAGGAACACCAAUGGCGAAGGCAGCUCUCUGGCCUGAUACUGACGCUGAGGUGCGAAAGCGUGGGGAGCAAACAGGAUUAGAUACCCGAGUAGUC
rnacentral:rRNA from 1 species